rnacentral:rRNA from 1 species
UACACUCCUGCGGGAGGCAGCAGUGGGGAAUUUUGGACAAUGGGCGAAAGCCUGAUCCAGCCAUGCCGCGUGCAGGAUGAAGGCCUUCGGGUUGUAAACUGCUUUUGUACGGAACGAAACGGCCUUUUCUAAUAAAGAGGGCUAAUGACGGUACCGUAAGAAUAAGCACCGGCUAACUACGUGCCAGCAGCCGCGGUAAUACGUAGGGUGCAAGCGUUAAUCGGAAUUACUGGGCGUAAAGCGUGCGCAGGCGGUUAUGUAAGACAGUUGUGAAAUCCCCGGGCUCAACCUGGGAACUGCAUCUGUGACUGCAUAGCUAGAGUACGGUAGAGGGGGAUGGAAUUCCGCGUGUAGCAGUGAAAUGCGUAGAUAUGCGGAGGAACACCGAUGGCGAAGGCAAUCCCCUGGACCUGUACUGACGCUCAUGCACGAAAGCGUGGGGAGCAAACAGGAUUAGAAACCCCGGUAGUCC